GAAGAAAACUAUAAGGUUAAAGCGAAUGUAAAUAGUAUUAACAAAAAUGUUCGAAAGAUCAAAGAAUGCCGUUAAUUAAAGCAGUUGAGUCCACCUUCUCUCUAAUAGAAAUCUGUGCGUGCAGGCGCUCUGUAGAUAGCCGCGCUGGAGGGCGACGUGGGCCGCGAAGGACCCCACUGCCUGCCAUCAAGGAAGCUAGGCGGGCGGCUGUUCGCGGUUUGAGUACCAGGCGGUUCCACCAUGUCGAAGGUGUCCUUUAAAAUCACGCUGACGUCGGACCCGCGGCUACCGUACAAAGUCCUCAGCGUUCCUGAAAGCACACCUUUCACAGCUGUGCUAAAGUUUGCAGCAGAAGAGUUUAAAGUUCCUGCUGCUACAAGUGCGAUUAUUACUAAUGAUGGAAUAGGAAUUAAUCCUGCACAGACUGCUGGAAACGUUUUUCUGAAGCACGGCUCAGAGCUGCGGCUCAUUCCUCGAGACCGAGUUGGGAGCUGCUAAUGUAUGCUUCUUGGAAUGCACAGCCUCUCAGAAUGAACACUGGGAUUUGUUGUUGCUGUACAAUUGAAAUCAGGCAUUCACAGCACAAUGGAAGCACCGAGAAUCAGCGGAACAGGGAACCUUGACGCUUGUCCCUUCCUGUUCAUUUUUUCAUGGGAAGAGAGAAUGCCUUUGAGUGGAGGGUACCACACCACAGGUCACACCGUGGUGACUGCUGCCUCACCAGAAGAGAGUACCUCUGUGACAAAUGGACUGUGCUUUAAAACAAAAACAGCAAAACUGGAGGAUAAGUCUGCUAAUUCUUUUCAGGAGCAUUUGGAAAAAUUAAAAUUCACAGAAUCAUAUGUAUCUUCUAAUUUUGAAAUUUAAAAGGAUAAUUGAUCAUAGAAGCAUUUGGCUUGACAGCAUCUCUUAGUUAGACUUUUAAAUUAUAUAAUUUGUGAUGAACUUAAUAGGUAUUUGAAUGAACAGUUAAAUUUAUAUAAAACCAAACAUUGAAUUAUGGAAUCUAACCAUUGUAAGUUGCUGUUGUGCAUCGAAUAGCUUCAACAAUAAUGACCCUGUGAAAUCAAGUGUCAUGGUGGGAGCUGACAGUACCACAGGAGCACCCUUAGCUAUAUUAUGAAUUCCUUGAUAAAGAAUAAAGCUUUAAGACAGAAGUCCUUAAACCAUUAUUUUUGAAGAUUUUAUUUUUGAGCAGCAUCCAAAAGUAUUGUUGCAGAGAUGAUCUGAAGUGUUGAUGGGGUGUCCCUUAAUGAAGAGGAAACUUUAAAGAAGCUGUUAGCAUUAGUGACACGUGGAUAAAGAACCAGGGAAGCAAAGCCAGGCUUUUGCCAGAGAGCAGAGGAAGUGAGGGGGAGCAGGAGGCUGGCAGUAUCCAAAGUCAGGAUGGAGCUGUGGCAGGGGUGGAAACGUGUGAAAGGGAGAAGACUGGGCACAGGGUCAGAAGGCAAUUGCAUUACACAUCAAAACUCAGGGGAGCAAUCUACAAGGAUGGUGAAAGGGGGCUUGGUAGGGCUGACAGCCUGAGUUCAAGUGCCAGAGUGAAGGAGAUUACCAACUCCCCAGAGUCAUCCUCUGACCUCAUGCAGACACCCAGAUGUGAGCCAAUCCCCUCCCACGAUAACUAUUUGCCUUUACACAGGAAGUCCACAGCUGGCACAUGUUUCAAGAUGGAUCAAAUGCUGACUGAGGGAGAACUAGGCAGCUCUGCUUUAGUAGGGGAACUCUUUGGAGGUGAGGGGUCUCCCUAGAGGUAGAAGUACAAGUUCUCAAUAAAUACUAAGUUCAUUGAUAAUGUCUUCAGGACCAGUUUUUAUCUUGUGUCUCAUAUUCCUUAUCAUGGGGCUGUCUUAGUAGGAAGGAAUUGUCCUUAUCUACAGGUUUGCAGGUUCUGGGGUUCUGAAUUAUGUAGCAAUACGCAGCUCAUGUUUACUUGGGUUUUUAUGGUUAUGUCCAGUGCCUGGAGACCUUAUUCCUUAUAUUAGGCCUCUGCUAACCGGACAUUUAAAAAUAUUUGCCACCUAAUUCUGCUUCUAUUAAAUUUCUUCCAUUCUGCCUUUAGCACAAAAUUCUGCUUGUCAGUACUGUUUAUACAGACUUACAGUAUGAAAUGAUUUACCUAACAAACCAGUUCUUUAAUUUGAAAAUACAUAGUCUUGAAAAUAUUUUACUCAAAAACUAGGUAAUUUGUUAUUAAAUGUGAUCUGUAAGUUCAGAACAUUUUAGGCAUUGUAUUUAAUUUUAAUGUCUAUAAUUAAUACCUCAGGAAAAUACAUUUUGUUAUACCGUAAAUCAUGGCUACCAUUAUUUUGCUAUCAGACUUACUAACCAGUUUAUUAAUACUGUUUUUUAAAAUGCAAAGAUAAAAGGUAAGUCAUAAAAAUAAUUAUAUUUCUAAAUGUUAAUCUGUUAAUUGGAAGAGGAGAACUUCAGGCAGUCCCAGUCCUGGAUAGUGUCCAGAGUGAAACUAGGAAAUUCAAAGUCCUGACUUCUGAAGUCAUCCCUCGGGUUCUCGCUCAUUAGGCAUGAGGACCCCUGUAAGCAGGACUGGGGGCUGCAUAUGCUGCUUAGCGUUGGCACCAUGACAGUGUGGAAAACACUUGAGAGUAGGAUUGCAGGUGAAGGCCAAAGUACCCUGGCAUCUUGGGCAUUCCCUUAAGCUGCUUGAUUCUGGAGUCAUCUAACAGCACAAAGAAAGAAGAUACUAACAGUUGGUCACUCCUGGGAAACUGUCCAUGAUCCAAGUCAGUGGGUUUUAGAUGCUUUAUUUCUUAAGUUUGGUUGUUAUUUGAAGGAAAAGAGCUAAAUAAAGGGUUGGUGCAGCCAAUAAAGGUGGUCCCUUACAAUAACCUGAGUUUUGUCCCUGGGACCUGCAUGGUGGAAGAAGAGAAAUGACCUUCCACAUUCACACUGUGACACAUAACACACAAAUGUUAUUUUAAGCUGCUGUAUGUCUUUGCCCAAAAGGUUCCAAGCAUUUGUAGAUUUGGAGCACCAAUAUAUAUAAAGGACCAAUCCCAGGUCCUUACUGUUCCCAAGGCUAUUUAUAAAGCUAGGUAAAACUAUGCGCAUACUUGUCUUUAAGAUCUGUUGAACUAGGGCCAGACAGAUGGCUCAGUGGCUAAGAGCCUCCUGGUCUUGCAGAGGACCAAGGUUUUGUUCCCAAAACCCACACUGUAGCUCACAACCAUGUGUAACUCCAGCUCCAGGAGAUCCUUUGCCCUCUUCCGGCCUCUGAAUGCCCGUGGAUUGGGGUGUAGCUCUCAACUACUACUCCAGGACUAUGCCUCCUGCAUGCCACCAUGCCUUCCACCAUGAUGAUAAUGUGUCAGACCUCUGAAACUGUGCAGCCCCUAAUUAAAUGCUUUCUCCUGUAAGAAUUGGUUUGGUCAUGGUGUUGCUUCACCAUGAGUAGAAUAGAAUAGACUAAAACAAAUAUGCCAAACUGGGCUUCAAGUUUAAUGGUGUAUGACCAACUUUGAAAAUCAAAGACACAGGUGGGGACUGUAAGUCUCAGCUGUCUGUGCUUCAUCAGUAUUUGAUCGGUGUGCCCGUGGUUCCCUCCAUUACUGGCCUCUUGCCUUGAAACUUUAUCAUUCGCAUUCUCCACUUGAGUGUGAUCUUCAUUUAUGUGACAGCCAUUUGAAGUGGUGUGUGGCCCUGUUGUCUGAUCUUUCUGCAUAGAAUUAUUUUGUUGAAUACAUAAUAACAGCCAAGGUUGACAGACAAAUGGAGAGCCAGUUUGGGGCAUAAAUCUGGUUCUCUGGCAAAACUCCUUCGGAAUGUAAAAGCUGUUAUUGAGAGCAUAUCGUGAUGAUGCAUCAUGUCAAUAUUUGUUUGGCUGCCUAGCAGGUUUGAUAAAUCAGUUCUUAAAUGCACAGCUUACAGUUGACGAGUUGUUAUAGAAAGAGGCUCUGCAGUUUGUGUUGUCAGCACCACAAACAUUUUGACAAGUCUCGAGAUGCUCUGGAUAUUUUCAUGUUGAUGUUUUGUAGAUAAAUAGAUGGGCAGAUUAAGGCUUUUCCCAUUUUUUUAGAUGUCCGCAUGGUGUAAGGAUGAAACAAGGAGUCUGGAGGUAGAUUACCAAGUAAGGGUAGAAAUGGUCUUGUGUCUUGGUUGGCUACCUAUAGCCAAACAGAUGUAGUUUCUCAGCGCAUUGGAAAUGAAGGUGUGGGUCCGUGGGGAUUGCAGCACGAGUGGAAGUUGCAGUCAGUGUGGCUUCAAACUUGCAGUUCUGCUAUUUGAGUUGCAGUGUGGAGUAAGUCAUAAGAGAGGGUGAGGUGUCAUCACCAGAGACUUGAAGUCUGAGCUGUGAGUGUGUCUCAGUCUGGAGAGAGCCACAUACCUGGAUUUAGGGUUUUAAUGGACCCAUGGUUUACCUGUGAGAGUGAGUGUAGUAUCUGUGUUUCAGAGUGGUAUCUGUUCAUAGAGAGACUCUACCUCAUUAUUCUUAGGUUAUAUACCUUUAAAUCUUUAUUUUUAAAAUAGGAUCUCUAGACAUUUAAAAAUGUUAAAAAGGACUUGAAGACAUGGCAUCCUUGUAAACAAAGACAUAAAUAUAAAAUAUAAAAUUCUGACCUACCCUGUGUCUUCUGCUUCCCAAUUUCCUUCCCAGCCCCACAUCUGAAAGAAGUCUCUUGCUGUGGGAAGCUGCUUAAGGACUUCCCAGAAUGCACGUCAUUUGCCCCUUCUGGCAGUAAUUUUUAUGGUCAGCUAUGUCAGUGUUGGGCUUCACGACCUUGCCUCAUCAGGAUACCUAAACAACCGUGUAUUCGAAUUUCUGUCUUAUCAGAAAAAUCUUUUUUAAAAAAUAAAUAUGUAUGACCAUUUUCAUGCAUGUAUGUAUGUGCAGCAUAUUCCUGUGUGGUGACCAUGGAUGCCGGGAAAGUACAUCAGAUCCCCUGGAAAUGGAGUUACAAAUGGUUAUGAGCCAUCGUGGGUUUUUUUCUGAGACUCAAACCCAGGUCAUCUGAGAGAGCAGCCAGUGUUCUCCAUUGAUCCAUCUCUCCAGCUCCUGCCUACUUCUUUGUAAACCCUAACUAAUGUUCUCAUUCAAGACAGUCUCACACAUCUUCUGUUGUUUUAGCUGG
rnacentral:lncRNA from 1 species